GGGAGCAGAGUUGAAGUUACAAUUGAGAUUAGAGAAUUGGGGCCCUGUGAAGGGCACCCGGGCUAUUUUUCCUGCCCUGCGUUACACAGCUAGGAGGAGGUGAGCAGGGCAGUAUCAAGGCCUGGUCUGUGUUGCUCCAAGGAGCAUGAAAAGGACAGAGGGCCUGGUGUAGGAAGCGUGGUUUCCACAGGAUCCUUGCUGCCUUCAGAUUCCUCCCGGCAGCCAGGGAGCUGGGUAAGGCGGAGGCUAUUCAGCUGCCAUCUGUCCUCCUGGCUCCAGUGCCUGGCAACUGGCUGCCCGGGUCUGCUCUCUGCUCUGGAGGAGGAGGCAUUCCUCCACGGCCCAUCAGGCAGGAUGAGGAGCUGUGCCCUCGCCAGGGCCGCACCACAUGAUGGAUUCGAUGAUUAUGCCUUUCUGAUGUGGGGGCUGCUCAGUCGUGUAGCAGAACCAGUCCCAUCUGCUGUGUUUCUUCAAAGAGCUGCUGGAAGGAAAUAUCUGCACUCUGCUCAUGCUGGGGCUGGAGGUGGAAAGGAGGAUGGAAGUGAGGCCAGAUGGACAUAAAGACCGUGGGUCCAGCUCAGGGCAGCAGCUCCUAUUUGUGGAAGUGAUGCAAACGACAGGCCCUUCUCUGCGCCAUUUGCCCCCCUUGGCAUCCCUUACUGGAAGACAUGGCUGCCGCCUGCUGUGGCCCUCUGCCCGAGGUUUUUCCCUUGAAGAGGCUUCCUGUGCCUGAAGCUGCCCUGCGACAAGCAGUAGAGAGUUUAUAGCAGCUUUCGCCACCACUCCCCCUUCUCAGAAGAGAGACAAAGAGGAGGCAGUGGGUGAUCUGGGGGCUCUUGGAGCCGGUGGAAGUUGGAAGUCCCUACGUGGAGCUCUCCUUGACCAGGAUGAUGAGGACCAUCCUGCCUGUCCCCCCGGAUGGUUAAAUCUGUGGAUGUGAGACCCACAGAUACAGAGUGCAGAGUGCACCAACGUGAUGCGGUCUGACUAUGUUGCCCAGGCUGGUCUCAAACUCCCAGGAUCAAGGAAUCCUCCUGCCCCAGCCUUCCCAGCACCUGGGACUACAGGCACAUCCACCAAGCCAGCCUCUGUGGGGAUAUCUUUCCUGAAGUCAUCUGUGCCCUGCAAUCCAGCUGAGUGCUUCUCUGGGACAGCUGUACAGCUCCCAUCCUGAGAGCUCCCUUUGCACUCAGGGACCAACAAGCGCCUUUAUGUUUCUCCUUUGUUGCAAUCCUUCUGUCCUGGACCAUGGUUUUUUUCUCCUUCUUAAUUGGCUUCCUCCUUGUAGUGAAGCAUAAUUUUCAAGAGAUACUUGAGGAAGGGCCUAUAGGAGAUACACAAACUGAAAACCUGCACUGGGGAAAAUGUCUGUAGUCCAACUGCCCUUUGGUGGAUAGUUUUGUGGUACACAAUCUUAGAAAACUAUGGGGGCGGGGAUUUAGCUCAUUGGUUUUGCCGCCUGCCACGCAAGCGCAAGGGCCAGAGUUCGAUCCCCACUACCAAAAAAACCCAAAAAACCAGAAAACUAUGUCCCUCAGGAUUUAGCAUAUAUUGAUCUAUUGUCUUCCAGCUUCCACUCUUAUGGAUAAAAAACUUAAGUCUGUUUUGAUUUCCUUUUCUUUGCAAAUGACCUGUUUUGUUCUCUCUAGAAGCUUGAAGUCCUUUUGCUCUUUUUUUUUUCUUUCUUUUCUUUUAAUCACUAGUGUUUUGAAAUUUCACAAAGAUGUGGCUUUGUAGGAUCCUUUCCUGUUCAUUGUUAUGGAUGAUCUCAAGGAUAUCUUUUCUCAUUAGGUUUUUUUUUUUGAAACACAAUCUCACAAUAUAGCUCAGGAUACCCUUCAACUCACUAUGUAGCCCAGACUCGCCUCAAAUUCAUAGUGAUCCUUCUGCCUCAGCCUCCCAGUUCUGGGAUCAUAGGCAUGUGCCACUAGGAAAUUUUCUAGUAUUCAUUCUUUGCUUAUUUUUCCCCCUCCAUAGUCUCCUGACUCCCCCUCCUUUUCAUUCUCCUCUUCCUUUUCUGCUUCCUCUUAUUCCUUCCCUUCUUCAUCUUCAUUUUUCUCUUCCUCUUCCUUCCCCUUCCUCUCUUUGGUCUCCUUCCUCUUUCUCUUCUGCUUCUUUUUUUGAGAUGGAAACCUCACUGUGCUGCCCAGGCUGGCCUAGAUUUGCAAUCCUCCUGCCUGAAUAUCCCAAGUAGCUGGGUCACAGACAUGUUCCACUUCAAUGGCUCUGCUCUUAUUUAUCUGAUAAUCCUAUUAGUUAUGUGUUGAAACUGUACAACUGGUCUCUGAAUUUUCUUUUUUUCUCUCCCUUUUCCCUACUCUUUGUCUUUUUGUUCUAUUUUAUGAGAGAUGGGCAUAACUUUAUCUUCAACCAUCAUAUUGAAUUUAAGCAAGCAUUCUUUUCAAUUAUUUUUUACUCUUAAAAUCAC
rnacentral:lncRNA from 1 species